GACGUUCUCUGGCAGCGAGGAAUACUGCAGGAGCCGCAACUCCAGACUCCUUACUGAGCAGGACACGAAGACAGCGGCUGAUUGUAUCACAAAAGGUGAAGACUUCUGGGCGGCUCCUGUGAGGAGGAACACUAGUGAUUGUUUCAUCUAUAACACGGACCAUGGAUUUGUCCGGAUGCAUUGUCUCACUCGUCGCUGGUUCAUAUGUUUGGAAACCUAGAUUUCUG